rnacentral:sRNA from 1 species
GUAAGGGAUGGCGCGCGUUGACCGGCCGGCCGGAGAUGCUAAUUUGUCGGU